rnacentral:rRNA from 1 species
GAGUUUGAUCCUGGCUCAGGCAUGAACGCUGGCGGCGUGCUUAAUGCAUGCAAGUCGAACGAGAACCCCUCUUUAGGUAACUAUCGAGGGACUUCUAGUGGCGAACGGGUGAGUAACACGUGAGCAACCUGCCCCAAAGACCGGGAUAGCCCAUGGAAACGUGGAUUAAUACCGGAUACCCUCGCCGAACCGCAUGAUUCGGUGAGGAAAUGGUCAGCCGCUUUGGGAUGGGCUCGCGGCCUAUCAGCUUGUUGGUGAGGUAACGGCUCACCAAGGCUCUGACGGGUAGCUGGUCUGAGAGGACGAUCAGCCACACUGGGACUGA